rnacentral:rRNA from 1 species
CCCAGUUCGGAUUGUAGUCUGCAACCCGACUACAUGAAGCUGGAAUCGCUAGUAAUCGCGAAUCAGAAUGUCGCGGUGAAUACGUUCCCGGGUCUUGUACACACCGCCCGUCACACCAUGGGAGUCGGAAAUGCCCGAAGUCAGUGACCCAACCGUAAGGAGGGAGCUGCCGAAGGUGGAGCCGGUAACUGGGGUGAAGUCGUAACAAGGUACC